AUUUCAAAGUUGUGCGGAUACAUUUAAUCAAAAUUGAAGUUAGUGAUCUAUAAAUAGACAGUCAAAACUCGUAGAUGCAUGAAACAGUUAGUUUGUUUGUAAUUUUGCAGUUAAAUUUAUUUGUGAUUUUUGGACUGAUUAUUUUGUUUGCAAAGUUAAAUUCAUUAAUUUGAAUAACAUAAAUUUCAUUGUACUAAUGCUUGUAAAGAUGCAUCACAUAGAA
rnacentral:misc_RNA from 1 species